rnacentral:rRNA from 1 species
CCUACGGGUGGCAGCAGUGAGGAAUAUUGGUCAAUGGACGAGAGUCUGAACCAGCCAAGUAGCGUGAAGGAUGACUGCCCUAUGGGUUGUAAACUUCUUUUAUAUGGGAAUAAAACAGGGUAUGCAUACCCUCUUGUAUGUACCAUAUGAAUAAGGAUCGGCUAACUCCGUGCCAGCAGCCGCGGUAAUACGGAGGAUCCGAGCGUUCGCCGGAUUUAUUGGGUUUAAAGGGAGCGUAGGUGGAUGGUUAAGUCAGUUGUGAAAGUUUGCGGCUCAAACGUAAAAUUGCAGUUGAAACUGGCAGUCGUGAGUACAGGAGAGGUGGGCGGAAAUCGUGGUGUAGCGGUGAAAUGCUUAG